rnacentral:rRNA from 1 species
UGGGGUAUAUUGCAUAAUGGGCGCAAGCCUGAUGCAGCCAUGCCGCGUGUGUGAAGAAGGUCUUCGGGUCGUAAAGCACUUUCAGCGGGGAGGAAGGCGAUAAGGUUAAUAACCUUGUCGAUUGACGUUACCCGCAGAAGAAGCACCGGCUAACUCCGUGCCAGCAGCCGCGGUAAUACGGAGGGUGCAAGCGUUAAUCGGAAUUACUGGGCGUAAAGCGCACGCAGGCGGUCUGUCAAGUCGGAUGUGAAAUCCCCGGGCUCAACCUGGGAACUGCAUUCGAAACUGGCAGGCUAGAGUAUUGUAGAGGGGGGUAGAAUUCCAGGUGUAGCGGUGAAAUGCGUAGAGAUAUGGAGGAAUACCGGUGGCGAAGGCGGCCCCCUGGACAAAGACUGACGCUCAGGUGCGAAGGCGUGGGGGGCAAACAGG